GACGAACGCUGGCGGCGUGCUUAACACAUGCAAGUCGAACGGUGAACCUCUUCGGAGGGGAUCAGUGGCGAACGGGUGAGUAACACGUGGGCAACCUGCCCCCGGCUCUGGGAUAACUCCAAGAAAUUGGGGCUAAUACCGUAUGUUCACCGCUUCCCGCAUGGGUGGUGGUGGAAAGGGUUUCCGGCUGGGGAUGGGCCCGCGGCCUAUCAGCUUGUUGGUGGGGUAGUGGCCUACCAAGGCGACGACGGGUAGCCGGCCUGAGAGGGUGACCGGCCACACUGGGACUGAGACACGGCCCAGACUCCUACGGGAGGCAGCAGUGGGGAAUAUUGCGCAAUGGGCGGAAGCCUGACGCAGCGACGCCGCGUGGGGGAUGACGGCCUUCGGGUUGUAAACCUCUUUCAGCAGGGACGAAGCGCAAGUGACGGUACCUGCAGAAGAAGCACCGGCCAACUACGUG
rnacentral:rRNA from 1 species